CUUGACCAGCCAUUAUGUGAGGAUGGUCGUACCUGCAUAAGAAAAUCGUUUACAAUUGUAAAAUACAAUUAAAUAUUUUAUACGGUACUAUAAUUAUAUUCGAAUGUUGAAUUCCGAAGAAGAAGAAAAUAUGAAAAUAAAUUGUUAAAAUAUUUAAAAAAAAAUACUAUAUUGUAUUAUUUGAUGAAUAAGAGAUCUAGGUACUAAAACAAGGAAUAGAAAAAUAAUAUAAUACUAGUUAUUUUCAAAUUUGACGAUAACCAUAUGUAACCUACAAUAUAAUAUAUUAUGUUAUA